rnacentral:rRNA from 1 species
AGGACGAACGCUGGCGGCGUGCCUAACACAUGCAAGUGGAGCGACGAACCAGGCUUCGGCCUGGGGCAGAGCCGCGAACGGGUGAGUAACACGUGGGUAACCUGCCCUGAUGAUUGGGACAACCCGAGGAAACUCGGGCUAAUACCGAAUGUGCCCUCCGGCCUCAAGGCCGCUGGGGAAAGGAGCUUCGGCCUCCGCAUCGGGAUGGACUCGCGGCCUAUCAGCUAGUUGGUGAGGUAACGGCCCACCAAGGCGACGACGGGUAGCCGGCCUGAGAGGGCGACCGGCCACACUGGGACUGAGACACGGCCCAGACUCCUACGGGAGGCAGCAGUGGGGAAUAUUGCGCAAUGGGCGAAAGCCUGACGCAGCGACGCCGCGUGGGGAUGAAUGCCUUCGGGUUGUAAACCCCUUUCAGCAGGGACGAAGCGAAAGUGACGGUACCUGCAGAAGAAGCGCCGGCUAACUACGUGCCAGCAGCCGCGGU